UGGGGAAUAUUGGUCAAUGGGCGCAAGCCUGAACCAGCCAUGCCGCGUGCAGGAAGACGGCCCUCCGGGUUGUAAACUGCUUUUGUACGGGAAUAAACCUCGCUACGUGUAGCGAGCUGAAUGUACCGUAAGAAUAAGGAUCGGCUAACUCCGUGCCAGCAGCCGCGGUAAUACGGAGGAUCCAAGCGUUAUCCGGAUUUAUUGGGUUUAAAGGGUGCGUAGGCGGCCUGUUAAGUCAGGGGUGAAAGACGGUGGCUCAACCAUCGCAGUGCCCUUGAUACUGAUGGGCUUGAAUGGACUAGAGGUAGGCGGAAUGUGACAAGUAGCGGUGAAAUGCAUAGAUAUGUCACAGAACACCGAUUGCGAAGGCAGCUUACUGGGAUACAACUGACGCUGAGGCACGAGAGCAUGGGGAGCAAACA
rnacentral:rRNA from 1 species